rnacentral:rRNA from 1 species
AACGAACGCUGGCGGCAGGCUUAACACAUGCAAGUCGAACGCCCCGCAAGGGGAGUGGCAGACGGGUGAGUAACGCGUGGGAAUCUACCGUACCCUACGGAAUAACGCAUGGAAACGUGUGCUAAUACCGUAUACGCCCUACGGGGGAAAGUUUUAUCGGGGUAUGGUGAGCCCGCGUUGGAUUAGCUAGUUGGUGGGGUAAGGGCCUACCAAGGCGACGAUCCAUAGCUGGUCUGAGAGGAUGAUCAGCCACAUUGGGACUGUGACACGGCCCAAAGUCCUACGGGAGGCAGCAGUGAGGAAUAUUGGACAAUGGGCGCAAGCCUGAUCCAGCCAUGCCGCGUGAGUGAUGAAGGCCCUAGGGUUGUAAAGCUCUUUCACCGAUGAAGAUAAUGACGGUAGUCGGAGAAGAAGCCCCGGCUAACUUCGUGCCAGCCGCCGCGGUAACAC